UACGUAGGGUGCAAGCGUUGUCCGGAAUUAUUGGGCGUAAAGAGCUCGUAGGCGGUCUGUCGCGUCGAAUGUGAAAAUCCGAGGCUCAACCUCGGACCUGCAUUCGAUACGGGCAGACUAGAGUUCGGUAGGGGAGUCUGGAAUUCCUGGUGUAGCGGUGAAAUGCGUAGAUAUCUGGAGGAACACCGGUGGCGAAGGCGGCAUCCUGGACCAACACUGACACUGAGGAGCGAAAGCCAGGGGAGCAAACGGG
rnacentral:rRNA from 1 species